AGAGUUUGAUCCUGGCUCAGGAUGAAUGCUGGCGGCGUGCCUAACACAUGCAAGUCGAGCGGCAGCGAGUUUUACACUGAAUUCUGGAAGCUUCUGAGUAAUAUAGAAGAUCCAUUCAAGAAUUUUGUGUAAAAUGUCGGCGAGCGGCGGACGGCUGAGUAACGCGUAGGAAUUUGCCCCAAAGUGAGGAAUAACUGCCCGAAAGGGUAGCUAAUGCCGCAUAUGGUCUUCGGAUUAAAGCCUUCGGGCGCUUUGGGAGAAGCCUGCGUUGGAUUAGGUAGUUGGUAGGGUAAUGGCCUACCAAGCCGACGAUCCAUAGCUGGUCUGAGAGGAUGAUCAGCCAGACUGGAACUGAGACACGGUCCAGACUCCUACGGGAGGCAGCAGUGAGGAAUCUUCCACAAUGGGCGAAAGCCUGAUGGAGCAACGCCGCGUGAAGGAUGAAGGCCUUCGGGUUGUAAACUUCUUUUAUGAGUGAAGAAUAUGACGGUAACUCAUGAAUAAGCACCGGCUAACUACGUGCCAGCAGCCGCGGUCAUACGUAGGGUGCAAGCAUUAUCCGGAGUGACUGGGCGUAAAGAGUUGCGUAGGCGGUUUAAUAAGUGAAUAGUGAAACCUGGUGGCUCAACCAUACAGACUAUUAUUCAAACUGUUAAACUCGAGAAUGGUAGAGGUAACUGGAAUUUCUAGUGUAGGAGUGAAAUCCGUAGAUAUUAGAAGGAACACCGAUGGCGUAGGCAGGUUACUGGGCCAUUUCUGACGCUAAGGCACGAAAGCGUGGGGAGCGAACCGGAUUAGAUACCCGGGUAGUCCACGCCGUAAACGAUGGAUACUAGCUGUUGGAGGUAUCGACCCCUUCAGUAGCGAAGCUAACGCGUUAAGUAUCCCGCCUGUGGAGUACGGCCGCAAGGCUAAAACAUAAAGGAAUUGACGGGGACCCGCACAAGCGGUGGAUUAUGUUCUUUAAUUCGAUGAUAACCGAAGAACCUUACCAGGGCUUGACAUCCAGGGAAGGUCUGCGAAAGUAGACUGUGCCUUUUGGAACCCUGUGACAGGUGAUGCAUGGCCGUCGUCAGCUCGUGUCGUGAGAUGUUAGGUUAAGUCCUUCAACGAGCGCAACCCUUGUGAAUAGUUGUAUUUUUCUAUUCAGACUGCCCCGGUAACGGGG
rnacentral:rRNA from 1 species